UACGAAGGGGGCUAGCGUUGUUCGGAAUUACUGGGCGUAAAGCGCGCGCAGGCGGUCCUUCAAGUCAGAGGUGAAAGCCCAGAGCUCAACUCUGGAACGGCCUUUGAGACUAGAGGACUUGGGUACGGGAGAGGUGAGUGGAAUUCCGAGUGUAGGGGUGAAAUUCGUAGAUAUUCGGAAGAACACCAGUGGCGAAGGCGGCUCACUGGCCCGUUACCGACGCUCAGGCGCGACAGCGUGGGGAGCAAACAGG
rnacentral:rRNA from 1 species